rnacentral:rRNA from 1 species
GACGAACGCUGGCGGCGUGCUUAACACAUGCAAGUCGAACGGAAAGGCCCUGCUUUUGUGGGGUGCUCGAGUGGCGAACGGGUGAGUAACACGUGAGUAACCUGCCCUUGACUUUGGGAUACUUCAGGAAACUGGGGCUAAUACCGGAUAGGAGCUCCUGCUGCAUGGCGGGGGUUGGAAAGUUUCGGCGGUUGGGGAUGGACUCGCGGCUUAUCAGCUUGUUGGUGGGGUAGUGGCUUACCAAGGCUUUGACGGGUAGCCGGCCUGAGAGGGUGACCGGCCACAUUGGGACUGAGAUACGGCCCAGACUCCUACGGGAGGCAGCAGUGGGGAAUAUUGCACAAUGGGCGGAAGCCUGAUGCAGCAACGCCGCGUGCGGGAUGACGGCCUUCGGGUUGUAAACCGCUUUCGCCUGUGACGAAGCGUGAGUGACGGUAAUGGGUAAAGAAGCACCGGCUAACUACGUG